UCAGCCCAUUGCUCAGUAAUAGCGGAUUUUUCUCAUCCAGAUUACUGGUCUAGCUCUGGUGCAUCGUACGAUAAAGCGGCUGACUGCUUUUAUUCAGUAUAUAAAUACACCUUCAACGUUACAAUGAACAAACAUGUGAGUAUACGGUAAACAAUGACAUAAGAAAUCAGUAAAGCGAUCGGCCAAUGCACUUAUGUAUAUCACAGACGACAUAAAUACUAAUGCAUCGGUGCCACAACAGCCACAAUAUCAUCAUGAAUCUUCUACGGUUCUGUUCAUUACUCUCAACCACUCGCGUACAGCAAUAGAAUAUAAGCGAAAUAAUGAAAUGUUAAUUGUAACGAAUGAAUUCAAUGUCACAGUUUAAGAGAGUGCCUACGUCUGGCUGUACUCUCGGGGCGUAACUCUGACGAUUACGGAAAUCGCCAAGCUUAUCGCUUACUAAGAAAGCCUUAGUGAAUAACAUAUACAGCCUUGGCUCGUACAAUACUACUAAUCCUGCUGAAGAGACUUAAAUGGAUGGGAUGGAGGAUACUACUUUUAAUUAGGGGUCCAUCUACCUAUGGAAAGACACUUGGUGUGUGACACCUCGUGAAAUACUACAAAUGGCAGUUGGUUGUACACAAAUUAAAGAUCUUAAUAAACAUUUACUGAGUACUGAUGACUUUUUCUUGUUAAGAAGAGUUUAUAAUAUACAUAACUUAUUAGAUGCACAUGUGUAGUCCUAUCAUUAUUGACAACACUAACAACGAGCCAUGGGAGGUGAGACCCUGCAAUAUUCAGUAAGGAAUAGAAGAAGACUGAUGAAGAAAUUAUGAAGAGUUAGCUAAGCUAGCUAGCUAGCUAAGCUAUAAGGAAUGGUCAAGUGUAAAUUCUACUGAAUGUCCUGAGUUGAGACCAUCCACAGUAAUAUCUCUUCCAAGUAACAACUGUACUGAAAUUUAAUUCAAUAAGAACAACCAACAAAAUCCAAUCCAAAGAAAAGCUUUAGGAUCCCUUAAAUAUCAACAGACAUAUUGAAAUCACGCCAGCUAUCAACAGCUGCAAUCCUAAAACAGAAGCUCCUGAUUGUACUGACGCCCUUCACCUCCACAGACUGCUGGUUGAAAAUGCAAAAUGUUUAAUAGACAUUGAAAAACUAGAGCAGAAAUGAGAUAACGGAGCACACUGGGACCAAGGACCUUAAAACUAGCAAUAUUAAAUGCUGAUAAAGCAACAGUAUCAAGUGCUGCAAUUGCGGGAGCUGCAUUUAAACCACCGUGAAAGAGUCAAUAAGAAAAAUCACGGAAAGGCGUACCUGACCGAUUUGUCUUAUAUACAGCGGAUUCAUAUGAUUGGGGGAAGUUUUGUAACUUUGGAUAUUCAAAACCCCCUGAGCUUGUUGUAGUACCUGUAUCGAACCUGAUUAGAUGGAUUUUUCUGUCAUUCUUGUUACAUCAAGAGACAUGAAGAAAGAGAUAAAAUACAAAAUACCAAUAAAGGGAAUACUUGACAAAAGUACUACCAUAAGGAAUAGGUAAUCAUUUCUAUGGAGGGAUUCUUCCGAAGUCAAAAUGAGGAAGUAUCGAUGACUACGAGCAGAAUAACAGCAAGGCUGCCAACUCACUUGUUCACGAUUUACUGCACCAGUUAUGAGGCAAUAUCCUGAGUUGCUACCACGCCCAGUAACAUUUCUUCCAACUGUACUGAAAGUGAAAUCAAUAACAACACCAACAAAACCAAACCCAUAGAACUGAGUGAACAGCCAACGGUGUAAGAACUCCGCAACUUCCGUGUUCCUAGACGACCGCAGCGAGUCACCGUACAUACGCUGUUCAUCCUCACGGACAAAGGCGGUGCUUUGGCUUGUGCCCAUAAGGAUGAACAGCGUAUUUGAGGUGAGAUAAGCCCCGCGGGACCCAAGUUCAAGCCUGCCAUCAUUAAACACCUCAAGCAAAUCUAAAUACAUACGACUCGUUUUUAUAGUUUUAGUAGAACAUUAUCCAUUAGGGUAAAAUUUAGGAUAUAAAUGUAAUAAAAAAAUACAAAAGCCUAAAUUUCUAAUCAUUAAAAUAAUAAUAAACAGCUUUAAUUUUUUAUAUAUUUUUUCCUGUUAUCCUAUAUCCGAGCUACCUUCAGUACCGUCGAUCGAAACCCCUUCACGGGUAAAGGUCUCCUCCAGCUUUUUUAACUAACUCUGUCCAUGGUUUUCCUUCUUCAUUCGCUUCCUACUACCGCUUCGCCGUCGGCGAUAGCAAAAAUGUUCUCUUGUCUGGCUUUGAGCUCCAUGUAGAGUUUAAUAGAAGGAGUCGAUCUCUUCAUCUGUAGCCUUUUCGGUAGGUGCGUAUACUUGUAUUAUUGUAUUCAGUUAGUUGUUGUAUUUCAUUUUUAUAAGGCCACCUAAGAAGAGCUCAAAAAUUGCAAAAAAUAUUUUUGUGUUAUUUUAUAUUAAGAAUCCAAUACCGUAUAUUCUUGUAACAAAAUAUAUAGUCUUCAUGUUCUUCAAUUGCGUAGCCCGUUCUUCUUACUUCUGCCAAGCCUAGUAUAUCGAUUUGUAUGUUUUGUAACAAAUUUUUAUUAAUUUAGAAUUUAACAUUGUUAUUACUACUCUUACUUUACUUUUCUUUCACUAGAAGCUGUACUUCCUUUUCUACUUUAGUUUUCAACAUUUGCUAUUCUUCUAGGAUAGGUCAUAAUUUUUAAUUCAUUUUAUCAAAUAUUGUGUUCCUUACUUGAAUUGUUUGGUUCUGCAAUUUCAACUCUAUUUUGUCAAAUAGUAGUUGAGAUUGUUCGUCCAUAAUUUUUACGUGUAACAGACCGUAAUUAAUUAUUUGCUGUCGGAACUCGUUUCUAUUCAAUUGAAAUUCAAAGUAAUUCCCCUUAGAUAUUAUGUUGAUAUCUAAGGGGAGUCGUAUUGAAGGUUAAAAGACAUUGAAAAACAGGAUAAACAGGUUUUAACCACUCUAUUUCGAAUUCGAUCGUUUCUAUGCCGAUACAGUAGUACUUCUACGCGUUAGUUUCGCUGUUGGUCGCUUAGUUCGUGUGGUCCCGCUUAUCUAGCUAUUAUAUGUU